rnacentral:tRNA from 1 species
GGGCGCGUGGUGAAACCGGCAAACACAGCGCCCUCAAAAGGCGCCGCCGCAAGGCUUGAGGGUUCGAGUCCCUCCGCGCCCA